rnacentral:lncRNA from 1 species
GAGUCUUCAAUAGAAUAUGCGUUGUUUAUAUCUAAACAAAAUAAGGAAAUAAAAAGAUGGGGUCACCGUAAUGGAAAAAGAGAUAUUUCUAAAAAGGGGUUAACAAUUUGAAUUGGCGGGAACACAUUGCGCCAAUUCUAAAAACAACGUCGAAAGACGUUCGGCCGGUUUAGGCUAUAUUCUUACAAAUUAGGGACAACCCAGUUCUCGUUAUUUGCUGUUUUGUUGUUUGUUUGUUUUAAACUACGAUAAAUUCACAUUAAUCUAC